rnacentral:lncRNA from 1 species
GAAAAUGCUCUCCAGCUCUUGCCCUGUCAAGAAUGGAUUAGAGGGAAACAAUACUGGGUGCAAGGAGAAUGUCAAGAAAACAGCAAAGUUCGUCUUAUUGAGGCAUCCAGUAAAGCUCCACAGAGAAAUCAUUCCCUCGUGUCUCUUCUGCACUCGGCCUUGGCAGGAUAAGAUGAAGAGGACGCAGUCCCUACCUCAGAGAGAACACUGGGAGGCAAUGUGGAGGAUGGAGCUGAGGAGUGCAAGGUUGCAGGCAAGGAAACCAGACAGGGGCCUGUGCUGUGCUAGGGAAGUGAGGAGUGCCUGGACCUAGCCAUGAUAGCAAGAAUGGAAGGCGGGAACCAGGUGUGAGGUAAGACUGGCUGGAUCAGAGAGAUCUGACUUUUUAGGAGCUCCAUAAAUAGCCAAGGGGUGAAGAAACCAAUAUGUAGAAGGAAUUCUUGGACAACGUUGCUUGGGCUAUGGCAAGUGGAGUCAUGAUAAGCCAUAUUCUUGGAGAACUUUUCCCAUUAAAGGCUGUUUAUCAAACCAUAGGAAGAAAAAUGAGAAACAGACAUAUUUCUAAAGUAGCACAUCAUUUGACUUUUAUGAUUAGUUGGGGGAUUUUGUUGGUAGUGAUGGUUGGGUAGAGGUCAAGUCUACCUUCUCAUGUAAGCAAAGCAUAAACAUUUUAAAUCAUCCACUUAUAAAAACAAAAGCAACUGAAAACAACAGCAAACUUGAUUCAGGUAAUCCAAUGGAAGCAAACACACCUGAUAAAGGAGAGUGUCACUGAUAAAACUGUACUUGAUAGUCGUACUUAGAGGGUUGCUGUAUCUUAAACAUUUUAAUUUUUCAUCUUAAACUCUGCGUUUAUAAAAAUUAAAUUUCACUUGGAAUUAAGAGGCCAUCUCCAUCAGCAACAGGAUAAAUUAUUAAUAUUGUAGGUCUUCAAACAUAUAUGAAAACAUUAAAUUAUCUGGAUUUAAAAUAUAUGAUCUAAAAUAGCAGAGGGCAUAUGUGGCUGAUUAGGUUAAUCCCUUUCUUUUGAGUUUGGUUUUCUUUGAUUCCCUCCCAUUACUGCUUCCAAGAGUCUACUUUAAACACACACUUAAAGCCUAAGAAAGUCUAAAUAAGUCCCAAUUACAGGUACAAGAUUAUUUCCUGGAACUAAAAAAUGUCAAUGAAUGUCUUAUCCUAGAAGAGUAAGCAGUAAGACUUCUCUUCAAUUGCCAGCUAAACACUUAAGUGUCCUAGCCCAGUCUUCCCGGAAAAGCUACAGGAAAGAAACCAAACAUACUUCUCAUUACCCCAAGUUCUUGGAAAGAUAUUUAAUGAAGUCUUGCAAGUAUGCAUUUAAAUGGAAAUGUCUGAAAAACUUGCUUUUACUAAUGAAUGAGAGGAAACAUCAGCAGUAAACAUUUCUUAUACUAUAAAGAUUUCAUUUGUAAAUAAUGAGAAUCAAAAUUGGCUACGAUCUCACCAUUUAGGCAUAUUUGCAACAACAUUGAAGGAAAAAAAUUCAGUACCACCUGGUUGAUUUAAAGGAAAUUGUGAAUUAUCACUUUAAAAUUCACCCAGGCAUGAAUGAGUAAAAAGCAUAUGGCAGCUCUUGGUUGGUGUGACCAUGGCUGCCAUUUUAUGUGUCACAGUCUGGUUACAACUUUAAGUUUGUGUGCUCUUGAACAUGGUGGGUUUUUUCUUUUUUUUUUCUUUUUGAGACAGGGUCCUGCUCUGUCGCCCAGGAUGGAGUG